rnacentral:rRNA from 1 species
GUUUAUAGCCACACCAGCUUGAGAAUGCCCAAUCCCAUCUGACCUUGGAAGCUAAGCAAGUUUGGGCCUAGAUAAUGCUGAGGUGGGACCCUACCUAGGAAUACCAGGUGCUGUAAGAU